rnacentral:rRNA from 1 species
GUCCGCAGCCAUACCACCUUGAAACCCCCUCAUCUUGUCUCAUCUCCGAAGCUAAGCAGGGUCAGGCCUGGUUAGUGCUUGGAUA